AUCCAGCUGACAAGUCUCAAAUAGGACGAAACGCUCGUCCUGAAU
rnacentral:hammerhead_ribozyme from 1 species